rnacentral:ncRNA from 1 species
ACUCGGGUUUUUGCGAAAAAUUAAUAGGGAAGGCGGUGUGAGUCCGCCACAGCCCCCGCUGCCGUAUUAGGGGAUGGCUGCAACAAUAUACCACUGGCAUGAUGCUGGGAAGGGGUUGCAGACAGGAGAUCCUUAAGUCGGAAGACCUGCCCGGUAGGG